rnacentral:tRNA from 1 species
GGGCUCGUGGUCUAGUGGUUAUGACGUCGCCUUGACAUGGCGGAGGUCGAGAGUUCAAAUCUCUCCGAGCCCA